rnacentral:rRNA from 1 species
CCGGCCUGAGAGGGCGACCGGCCACACUGGGACUGAGACACGGCCCAGACUCCUACGGGAGGCAGCAGUGGGGAAUAUUGCGCAAUGGGCGAAAGCCUGACGCAGCAACGCCGCGUGAGGGAUGACGGCCUUCGGGUUGUAAACCUCUUUCAGCAGGGAAGAAGCGAAAGUGACGGUACCUGCAGAAGAAGCACCGGCUAACUACGUGCCAGCAGCCGCGGUAAUACGUAGGGUGCAAGCGUUGUCCGGAUUUAUUGGGCGUAAAGAGCUCGUAGGCGGUUAGUCACGUCGGAUGUGAAAACUCAGAGCUUAACUCUGAGCCUGCAUUCGAUACGGGCUGACUAGAGUGUUGUAGGGGAGAC